rnacentral:lncRNA from 1 species
GUAGAUGAAAAGAAUGCCUUUAUUUUAUUUGUUUAUUUUUAUGUGGUGCUGAGGAUCAAAGCCAGUGCCUCAAGCAUGCUAGAGAAGCACUCUGCCACUGAGCUACAGCCCCAGCCCUAUUGAAAUUUGUUUUUAAACUAUAAAUCCGGGCAACUCAGAGUAUGAUUUCCUGGUUUCUUGGGAGGGGCGGCCCAGCCACACAGCUCCCCUCCUCCUGGACGCCCGCUGCUCCCCCACGGCCUAGGGUCAGGAGCCCUUUCUUCAAGGGGCAAUGCUCCUCCCAUUCCCGGUCAUCCUCAAGUCGUAAUAAAAGCAGUCCUGAGCUAACACUCCCACGAGGCCUUGCUGGAACGUGGGGAGCAUCCCCACUGGUCAUAAAAGCCACCCUCUGGCCGUGCGUAGAGCCCUGCCUGCCUCUGCUGUGCGCUCGCUUGGUCACUCUGCCCGAGGGGCGGGCCCCUAGUCUGUGCGGGCUUCCCGGGAGAGCCGGGGCCGUUUCAGGAGCGGGCAAGGUUCCCGGCACCAAACAAGACCCACUUGAGGACCGUUCCGGGUGGCCACAACACCCCAGAGGACCCCUGGUGCCGCCGCUGUCCCUGGUGCUGACUGGCCUGGCCCGUGGACUCACCCCUCCCAGGAGGCGGUGGGGCCAAGGUCAGGGGCGAGCUCGGCGGAGAGGCUUCCCGGAGGAGGCCGAGGUCAGACUAAGGCAGGUGUUCCAGGAGGCCAACCACCGUCGCCAGGCGUCCUCCACUGCCCAGGACCCAGCAGAGGGGCCUGGCCAAGGAAGGCUUGUGCGGGAGUUUCCGACGCGCCUUGCUGUGGCUGUUCUGUUUUUACUGGCCGCGUUUUCUUCUGGGUGAAAACAUUUCCCAGGACCCGCCCAGGCCUCGCCUUGAGGCUCCCCAUUUCUGAGGAAGAGGCUGAGAUGGAGGCUGCGCGGGCUGCGGGAGGGGCGGCGGCCAGGCUGCGGUGAGAACCAGGGCAGUACGCGGCCUGGGCGGUGGACGCGGGGGCGACAGGCGGCCUCCUCGCCGCCCCGGGGAGGGCAGGCUUCCGCUUUGUGACGGUCCCCGCGGGGCAGGAAGCAGCGCGCGGCCUCCGGGAACCCCCG